UGACCUCGGAUCAGGUAGGACUACCCGCUGAACUUAAGCAUAUCAUAA
rnacentral:rRNA from 2 species